rnacentral:lncRNA from 1 species
CUGGGAGAACCGAAAACAGUUCUAGACAGACCUGCGGUUUUCUAGCAGCUUUGGCAGUCAACUUCAGCUUGUGCCUGAGCAGUGGGGCCGAGGUGGCCCAGCCGCGGGGGGACACAAGGCCGCCUCUCCUGACUACAUGGCUGCUUCUCUCGACUUCCCUGGGUGCCAGGGAGAAGGGGUGCCCGCGGGAAAG